GUACUUGUACUUCGGCGUCGAGCGGCGGACGGGUGAGUAAUGCUUGGGAAUAUGCCUUUUGGUGGGGGACAACAGUUGGAAACGACUGCUAAUACCGCAUAAUGUUUACGGACCAAAGCGGGGGAUUCUUCGGAACCUCGUGCCAAAAGAUUAGCCCAAGUGAGAUUAGCUAGUUGGUGGGGUAAAGGCCUACCAAGGCGACGAUCUCUAGCUGGUUUGAGAGGAUGAUCAGCCACACUGGGACUGAGACACGGCCCAGACUCCUACGGGAGGCAGCAGUGGGGAAUAUUGCACAAUGGGGGAAACCCUGAUGCAGCCAUGCCGCGUGUGUGAAGAAGGCCUUCGGGUUGUAAAGCACUUUCAGUCGUGAGGAAAGGGGUGUAGCUAAUAUCUGCAUCCUGUGACGUUAGCGACAGAAGAAGCACCGGCUAACUCCGUGCCAGCAGCCGCGGUAAUACGGAGGGUGCGAGCGUUAAUCGGAAUUACUGGGCGUAAAGCGUGCGUAGGCGGUUUGAUAAGCCAGAUGUGAAAUCCCGGGGCUUAACCUCGGAACUGCAUUUGGAACUGUUUGACUAGAGUACUGUAGAGGGUGGUGGAAUUUCCAGUGUAGCGGUGAAAUGCGUAGAGAUUGGAAGGAACAUCAGUGGCGAAGGCGGCCACCUGGACAGAUACUGACGCUGAGGCACGAAAGCGUGGGGAGCGAACAGGAUUAGAUACCCUGGUAGUCCACGCCGUAAACGAUGUCAACUA
rnacentral:rRNA from 1 species